AGAGAGAGAGAGAGAGAGUGGGGGGGAGGGAAGGUACCCCUGGCUUGACAUUCUUGUUUCUUUAAAUAUUUUUCCGUUGCCUGUUCCAUCACCGAAUCAUACAAGUUGCUGGAGGUAGCUACCUAGUUCAUUUAAGACACCCCCCCGGCCACCACCCCAGUAUAGGAACCGUUGUACUUCCCUCGUCAACUGAACUUUUUUUUUGAUCUGCAAAGUCAACUGUACAUGCAGCAAUAACAAUUGCG
rnacentral:misc_RNA from 1 species